AGAGUUUGAUCCUGGCUCAGGAUGAACGCUAGCGGGAGGCUUAACACAUGCAAGUCGAGGGGUAAAUGGUAGCAAUACUAUGAGACCGGCGGACGGGUGCGUAACGCGUAUGCAACAUACCUUGUGCAGGGGGAUAGCCCGUGGAAACGCGGAUUAAUAUUCCAUAGUCCAGCUAUAUCGCAUGGUAUAGUUGGUAAAGAUUUAUCGGCACAAGUUUGGCAUGCGUCUGAUUAGCUUGUUGGUAGGGUAACGGCCUACCAAGGCUACGAUCAGUAGGGGUUCUGAGAGGAUUAACCCCCACACUGGUACUGAGACACGGACCAGACUCCUACGGGAGGCAGCAGUGAGGAAUAUUGGUCAAUGGGCGGAAGCCUGAACCAGCCAUCCCGCGUGCAGGAAGACGGCCCUAUGGGUUGUAAACUGCUUUUCCAGGGAGAGAAACUUACGCACGUGUUGCGUGACUGACGGUACCCUGGGAAUAAGCAUCGGCUAACUCCGUGCCAGCAGCCGCGGUAAUACGGAGGAUGCAAGCGUUAUCCGGAUUUAUUGGGUUUAAAGGGUGCGCAGGUUGUUUGAUAAGUCAGUGGUGAAAGUCUGUCGCUUAACGGUAGGAUUGCCAUUGAUACUGUUGGACUUGAAUAUGGAUGAGGUAGGCGGAAUGUGUAGUGUAGCGGUGAAAUGCAUAGAUAUUACACAGAACACCGAUUGCGAAGGCAGCUUACUAAUCCAUCAUUGACGCUGAGGCACGAAAGCGUGGGGAUCAAACAGGAUUAGAUACCCUGGUAGUCCACGCCGUAAACGAU
rnacentral:rRNA from 1 species